rnacentral:rRNA from 1 species
GAACGCCGGCGGCGUGCUUAAUACAUGCAAGUCGAACGGAAACAGUAGCAAUAUUGUUUUAGUGGCGAACGGGUGAGUAACGCGUUGGUGACCUGCCCCGAAGAGAGGGAUAACAGUUCGAAAGGAUUGCUAAUACCUCAUGUGGUCAUAUGGUUUAGAAGCUUAUGACUAAACGGAUUUAUUCGCUUCGGGAGGGGCCUGCGUCCCAUCAGCUAGUUGGUAAGGUAAUGGCCUACCAAGGCGAUGACGGGUAGGGGACCUGAGAGGGUGGCCCCCCACAAUGGAACUGAAACACGGUCCAUACACCUACGGGUGGCAGCAGUAGGGAAUAUUGGUUAAUGUGGGAAACCGCGAACCAGCAACGCCGCGUGCACGAUGAAGGCCUUCGGGUCGUAAAGUGCUUUUAGAGAGGAUGAGGAAGGACAGUACUCUCUGAAUAAGCCUCGGCUAACUACGUGCCAGCAGCCGCGGUAAAACGUAGGAGGCGAGCGUUAUCCGGAUUUACUGGGCGUAAAGCGCGUGUAGGCGGUCUGACAAGUUGGAUGUGAAAGCUCCUGGCUUAACUGGGAGAGGUCGUUCAAAACUGUUAGACUUGAGAGUGGUAGAGGGAGGUGGAAUUCCGGGUGUAGUGGUGAAAUGCGUAGAUAUCCGGAGGAACACCAGUGGCGAAAGCGGCCUCCUGGACCAUUUCUGACGCUCAGACGCGAAAGCUAAGGUAGCAAACGGGAUUAGAGACCCCGGUAGUCUUAGCUGUAAACGAUGUGAACUAGGUGUCGGUGGGUUCAAAUCCAUCGGUACCGAAGCUAACGCGAUAAGUUCACCGCCUGGGGACUACGGCCACAAGGUU